rnacentral:rRNA from 1 species
UACGUAGGGAGCAAGCGUUGUCCGGAAUCAUUGGGCGUAAAGCGCGCGUAGGUGGCCUCAUAAGUCUGCUGUGAAAGCCCUGGGCUCAACCUGGGAAUGGCGGUGGAUACUGAGAAGCUGGAGUACGGUAGAGGAAGGUGGAAUUCCCGGUGUAGCGGUGAAAUGCGUAGAGAUCGGGAGGAACAUCAGUGGCGAAGGCGGCCUUCUGGACCAGUACUGACGCUGAGGCACGAAAGCGUGGGGAGCAAACAGG